GUGCAUGUAGGGCCAAGUGGGUGGACAUGGAAUGGUAGCGGAGAGAAGCUCUAAAUAACUGAGAUUCCUGGGGAGUGGUCCUCAAGAUCUUUUGGAAGAAGAUGAUGCAGUAUGCCCAGCAACCCUCUGAAAUACUAAGGAAGGCAUUGGUUUUAUGUAUGGUAGCAUAGGCGGAAGCCACAUGAUUUACUCUGACCACUAAAGGAAAUAAUGACUUCAACAGGGUGGGAGAUGUGUGGAGCAACCUCCAGUCUACUGCGUCUCCAUGAGGGACUGUUUGGUUACUAUCAACAAAACUCAGUGAAUAAAGUUUAAGCAAAAGAAGAAAUGUAAGAAUGUCUCUUGGGCUUCCCCAGUGGCUCAGUUAUAAAGAAUCUGCCUGCCAAAACAAUUAAAAAAAAAAAAAGAAUCUGCCUGCCAAUGUAGGAGACACAGGUUCAAUCCCUGGUCCAAGAAGAUCCCACGCACCAAGGAGCCCUGAACCACAACUAUUGAGCCUGUGCCCUAGAGGCUGUGAACCAUACCGACUGAGCCCAAGCGCCGGGGCUGCUGAAAGCUGCACACCCUGGACCCCGGCUCUGCACCAAGAGAGGCCACGAGGAGGAGCCUGUGCACUGCACCUGGAGAGUAGCCCCACUCGCCACAACUAAAGAAAAAGCCCUCACAGCAACGAAGACCCAACACAGCCAAAAAAAUAAAUAAUAAAAUAAAUAAAUAAAUUUUUUUUUAAAAAA